rnacentral:tRNA from 1 species
GGCGCUGUGGUGCAGUGGGUUAACGCACUGGCCUGAAGUGCCAGCAUCCCAUAUGGCCACUGGUUCUAGUCCUGGCUGCUCCU